rnacentral:lncRNA from 1 species
GCUUUCGCAGGUCUCCUAGCAACGGCAAACAAAGGCAGGACCCAUCUCAAGUUUCCUGUGGAGCGGCCAGUCCGGCGUGCCUUUGAUCUUGACUGGGAAAAUAGCUGAGUGGGCACUACUCGCAUUUGUCUUUCAUUUACAACCCCCCCCCUCCAAAAAUGUUCCCUGAAACAGCCAAAUCUUCAUCUGUCCCCAGCAACCAAUGCCCCUCCCGGAUAAUCAACCAUAGCAAAGGAAGACUCCUCGGUAACACGCACACCUUGCACACUGCUGAAGAUGACGCAGUCAGGAGAGCAGAAGAUCCCUCGUUUCAAGUGUUCUACCGAUGCCUGUUUGUGAGGAACGCUCGUCCUAGCCGGAUCCUAUUUUGGUUUGUCAAAGCAGAAGCUGCAGAAAAGCAGGUUUUUCACAUUCCUAUCAAGAUCCUUUUAUGGAGGCGACUAAGGUUUGGGGUUGUUACAUGCAGGAACUGUGAGGGGGGAAAAAAACAAAACUGUCCCACUUCUGCCUUCAGCAGCCUGCAUCCUCCUCGGCAUACACUUUACACCGUGAGACGUCUUGCAUUCAUUACUGCAAAAAUAUUUAAUGGCAUGAAGUCACAUUGCUCAGCACUACGGCACAGAGGAACAUUGUUACCAGCAUGA